AAAUUUGUAAUCUGGCACCUUCGGUGUCCGAGUUGUAAUCUCGAGAAGUGUUUUCCGCGCCAGACUGCAUAUAAGUCUAUUGGAAUAUAGCGUCAUAGUGGUGAGAACCCCGUACAUGAUGCAGAUGCCUGGUGCUCUGUGAUACACUUUCGAAGAGUCGAGUUGUUUGGGAAUGCAGCUCAAAUUGGGUGGUAAAUUCCAUCUAAAGCUAAAUAUUGGCGAGAGACCGAUAGCGAACAAGUACCGUGAGGGAAAGAUGAAAAGCACUUUGGAAAGAGAGUUAACAGUACGUGAAAUUGUUGGAAGGGAAACGCUUGAAGUCAGACUUGCUAUUUGGAAUUCAGCCGCAAGGUGUACUUUUCAAUUUGCAGGCCAGCAUCAGUUUUCGGGGAUGGAAAAGGAUUAGGAGAAGGUAGCAGUCUCGGCUGUGUUAUAGCUCUUAAUUGGAUUCAUCCCUGGGGACUGAGGAACGCAGCUUCGGCUUAG
rnacentral:rRNA from 1 species